rnacentral:rRNA from 1 species
AACGAACGCUGGCGGCAUGCCUAACACAUGCAAGUCGAACGAAGCCUUCGGGCUUAGUGGCGCACGGGUGCGUAACGCGUGGGUAUCUGCCCUUUGGUUCGGAAUAACAGUUGGAAACGACUGCUAAUACCGGAUGAUGACGAAAGUCCAAAGAUUUAUCGCCAGAGGAUGAGCCCGCGUAGGAUUAGCUAGUUGGUGUGGUAAAGGCGCACCAAGGCGACGAUCCUUAGCUGGUCUGAGAGGAUGAUCAGCCACACUGGGACUGAGACACGGCCCAGACUCCUACGGGAGGCAGCAGUGGGGAAUAUUGGACAAUGGGCGAAAGCCUGAUCCAGCAAUGCCGCGUGAGCGAUGAAGGCCCUAGGGUUGUAAAGCUCUUUUACCCGGGAUGAUAAUGACAGUACCGGGAGAAUAAGCCCCGGCUAACUCCGUGCCAGCAGCCGCCGUAA